AGAGAAUAGAUACCCGGGUAGUCCGUGCCCUAAACUAUGAUAGCUGGAUUUUGGGAGUAUCGACCCUCCCAGAGUCGUUCAAAAUAAAGCUAACGCGUUAAGCUAUCCGCCUGGGGAGUACGGCCGCAAGGCUAAAACUCAAAGGAAUAGACGGGGACCCGCACAAGCGGUGGAACAUGUGGUUUAAUUCGACGGUAAGCGAGGAACCUCACCAAGGCUUGACAUGUAACUGCAAAUCCCAUGAAAGUGGGACUCCUUCGAGGGUGUUACACAGGUGCUGCAUGGUUGUCGUCAGCUCGUGCCGUGAGGUGUACCCUUAAGUGGGGUAACGAGCGCAACCCCUAUGCUGUGUUGUUGUUUCACAGCAGACUGCCUCGGAUAACGGGGAGGAAGGUGGGAUGACGUCAAAUCAGCAUGGCUCUUACGCCUUGGGCGACACACGUGUUACAAUGGUUGGUACAAGGGCAGCCAAACCGCAAGGUGGAGCUAAUCCCAUCAAAACCAAUCUCAGUUCGGAUCGGAGUCUGCAA
rnacentral:rRNA from 1 species